CCUACGGGUGGCAGCAGUCGAGAAUCAUUCACAAUGGGGGAAACCCUGAUGGUGCGACGCCGCGUGGGGGAAUGAAGGUCUUCGGAUUGUAAACCCCUGUCAUGUGGGAGCAAAUUAAAAAGAUAGUACCACAAGAGGAAGAGACGGCUAACUCUGUGCCAGCAGCCGCGGUAAUACAGAGGUCUCAAGCGUUGUUCGGAAUCACUGGGCGUAAAGGGUGCGUAGGCUGUUUCGUAAGUCGUGUGUGAAAGGCGCGGGCUCAACCGGCGGACGGCACAUGAUACUGCGAGACUAGAGUAAUGGAGGGGGAAGCGGAAUUCGCGGUGUAGCAGUGAAAUGCGUAGAUAUCGAGAGGAACACUCGUGGCGAAGGCGGGUUCCUGGACAGUAACUGACGCUGAGGCACGAAGGCCAGGGGAGCGAAAGGGAUUAGAUACCCGAGUAGUC
rnacentral:rRNA from 1 species